rnacentral:tRNA from 1 species
UUCAGAAAGUAGUUUAUAAGAACGGUGGCUUUGGGGGUUACAGGUGGGAGAAAUUGGCUCUCUUUUCUGA